AGAGGCAGUGGACCCUUAGGCGUAGCACCUGCACCGCCCUGCCCUGGGGAGGCGACCCCGAGUACCCACGCGGGACACUGGUCAAGGACAUCGGCCAGACAGUGAUAAGGACAGGAGCUGGUGUCUUAACCGGAGCAACAGACAUUCAAGCUGAAUGAGGCUGAAUGAGCACAGAAGGGGGAAGGGGGAAGAGGAAACACUUGCGAUAAAAUAGGGAAGAAGCAAAGCUACCUCUGCCAAGAAAGCCAGCUUCUCACUGAAGCUCUCCUGAUUGGGGAGUGUUCCUAAGAGAAUCAGCCUCUGCCAGGAGAUGGAAGUGGCUUAUUUUGAAGACAACAUCCUCACACGUGUGUGUCCCUGUAUAUCUGGGACCCCCAGCUAAGUGUCAGUUCCUUGCUCAGAGAACCUGUGAUUGGGAUUCUCUGGGGGGAAAUGUUCAAAAUGAAUCAAUUAUCACCACCAGCAGAGAGUUCAAUACCACUGUACAGGGACCCAGCUUUGUAUUAGUGCAUGAAUGAAUUACUGGUACUCAUGUCAUUUGCAAAUAACCAUCAUUAUAGCGCAGUGGAAAAUUCCCCCUACCCAUUUAGUCUAAGUAGCACCUUAGCAGAGCAUUGCAAUAACCCUCAUGGACCCUCCAAAAUAUUUGCACAUAUAUGUUCAGAUUAAGCUCCAGAUAGUUUAAUAUGAGAGUAUCUAUUUGGACACAAGGUCACCCCUUACACUCAUUAAACCAAUCUGAAUGAGGUCUGAUAACUCUUAAGGGAAAUCAGCACUUGAAAUGCUUUCGACUUUUUGGAGACACGGAUGGAAUAUAUCAGCAGGCUUCGCUCAGCAUGAGACAGCUCUGAAAACUCCAGAAAGGACAUAUCGCUGUCCCACCCCACCCUCAGAGUCGUUCUUCACACAUCUAAGGCUUGUGGUGGGUGUGAAUUUAAUGUAAGGGGUGGGGGGAGUGGAGAACUUUACAGAAAAAGUGUGUUUCUUCUGACCAAAUCUGAUCUGAGUCAAUUUUUCUGCUGAUUCCUCCUACCCAGUGGGAAUUUUUAAAAAAUACAUAACGAGCACAUUUUGUGUUCUAAAGGACAUGAAUAAAAUGAUCCAGAGCUGUGGAGAUAACUCAGUGUGUAAUUGUGCUUGUUUUCCAUGAGAGCAAGGAGUGCUUAGUUCAAAUUCUCCAAACCUAGAGAAAAGAAAUGCUAGGCUUAGUCAUGUAUCUGUAACUCUACCUUUUUGCCGGCAUUGGGGUGGAUAUAGGGACUUGAUGGCCAGCCAUCCUGAGCAGCUUUAGGUUAAGUGAGAUACUUAUCAUGUCCCAAAGUGUAAGACAGCAGGUAGUGGGGAAAGAACCCCUGAAGUCUCCCUUUGGCAUAUACACUCAUAGACAUGCACCUGUCCCUGGACACACAGGCAACACACACACACACACACACAUUGGAAAAUAGGUUGAAGGAGCUGGAUAGCAACUCAUAUGAAAAAAAAAAAACCCUAGGUUUUAUACUUAAUUUGCUUUUUGAAAACAUUUCUAAAAGCCUUAACCUUCAUGUAUGAAGCAACACUUGAACCCCUCCCUGGUUUUGAAGAAUAACCUUAGGUUUAGAAGAGGUGAAUAAAAUAGUGUUUUCCUAAAGGAGUUAUGUCCGGAUGGCUUUAUGUUUCAUUGUUAAAAUCCAGCGAGGAGAACUUGGAAGUGGACACUAGGAACAGCCUUCUCAGCAUACUCCUAUUUCAUUGACAUAAGUGACUUUUGAGCUUCAACCUAAGGACGUGGGAAUAAUAACGGCUUCAUAGUGGGAUAAUGGUAAUUAGCACACAAAAGUUGAGUUAAUUACCAUGAAGGUUAUGACACAGACUGACAGACUGAGUCAAAGUAAACUACAAGCCUUCCACCUCAGUCAAGACUCUAAAAAGGGACCGUACAACUCCCACUGCAGUUAGACAUAAAGCACAAUUGAGAUCAGUCACCUUUUCUCCCUCCAUCCUUAUUUCUAGACUUUUAAUUUCUUCGUAUGAAAUUCAAGAACAAUAGCUCUAGCCGUGUAUAUUUUGAUAAAGUAUGUAUAGUUGAUUUUCAUUGUUCUUGGUGAUGACAUUCCAUAAAGUUGCUGCCCAUAAUGAAAUGUUCCCAGUAAAAAUAGAGAGGUAAGUUCCAGAGUCCCUCUGUAAAAUGAUCUUCAUUAACUCAUCAGCACAUAAUCUCAUUUUCUGAAAGCUUCUGGUAGAUACUCUGUUCAGGAUGUGUUAUUGUUUCCCGAACACUCAGCUUCCCUCGCAGCACUGUAGCCUUUGCCUCACAGAGCUUGUUAUCCAAAGCUUGUAUUUUCUGUGCAAAGCAUUGCAGCCUUUUUAGGAACACCAGGAAACACAGUAUGUAUGGGGGUCAUUUUGAACAGCAAAAUUGCCAAAGAACAUUCUAAAAUAGCUAGCAGUGCUACCAAAAAAAAAAAAAAAAAAAAAAAUUGAGAGUUCUGGGUACUGUGGACUGAAACGAGAAGGCAGGACAUCACCUUGCUUGACCUAGGCCAGGAGAUGGUGUUUUGGGAGGCUCAAGCUUUGUUCUCUGUAUAUCAUAAGCACCCCAUGUGCCUGUAGGUAUCACCCUCAGUGGUUUAAGUAUUAACCUCUAGGUUACACAAAACUCUGUACAAGCAAGCAAAUUUUGCAGUUAUGGAAUCUAGAGAUAAUGAGGAUUAAAUGGAUCAGAUUUCUUUGCUUUUAAGGGAGAGACUCAUCAGCUCACUUGAUUUGUGUUUGAACUUACAUGUAAAUUGAAUUGAUAAUCAUUUGAAAAUAUAUUAUUGUGAGACUAUAAACCUUCAUACAUUUUGUAAUAUGUCUUCAUCUUCCACCAGCUUUCUCAAUUAAAUUAGGUAAUGCAAUUCCUAAUUGAGAGACAUUUCUUUUUGUCACAUACCACGAUUUCUCUGUGUUUAUUCCACAAUGAGUAUUUUGUGAUAUUGUCAUUGAACAUUAUUAUCCAUUCUGUUGGACACAAAGUAGAGAUUUUUAAGAACUAAUAGAAAGUUAAAAAGAAUUUAAAAAGCUUAGUGAAGUGAAAAGGGUGUCUUUGUGAGAGUUAAAACAAGCCUUCCGCCAAAGAGAAUUAUUUCAGCUGAGAAUAUGUUUUCAUUUUAUUAAUAAAACUCUGAAAGUAAUUGGUUU
rnacentral:lncRNA from 1 species